UUCUCUCUCCCUUCUUAAUAAAAGAAAAAUUCCCAAAUUAAGGAAGAAGAAAUCCCUAAAUCUCUAUCCCUCUCCUUCCUCUCGACGACAACACAGGGCAGCCGCCCUUGUCGCGCCUCACGGAGGCGCCCUCUCUUCCCGCCGUCUCUCCCUCCGGUCGGCGUAUCGCGUCUCCCGUGCAGACGCUGUUCAUUCGUUCCAGCGGACCAACCGUCGUCACCCCGUGACUCCCUCUGUGCUCCGAUAACCACGCAGCACCGCAGCCGUCGGGCAUGCACAGGCGGUGCUCUCGCCGUUGCCGCCUCGGUGUCGCACCGAGGCUGUCUCCUUUCUGCUGGAAAAGCCGCUGCUUCGAGGACUGUUCUCGGCAUCCGCUCGAUGUCAUACGCUCCUCUGUGGGCUAGGCUCGGAGACUUCGGACAGCUUCCUCCUUAAGCUAAGUCUUCUAUUUUAUCCUAUUUCAGUUACGCCUCUCGGGGCAGUAGCUAUGAAGGGUCUCUAAAUUGGGGUUGGGAGUAUUUGGGUUCUAUAAAAGCAUGCUCUUAUCCCAAAUUCUCUUAUCAUUUAUUAUGUCAAAAAAAAAGCAACAAAACUUGGAUAGUCGUUUUUGUCAAGUUGGGGUUCUGGUGCUUACUGUGAAGAAAUCAUAGUUGUGAGUUUAUACUAUGUGAUGACUUGGAGCAUUAUUUGAGACUUGGGGUGAGGAGUGUGUUACCUCUUGAAGGUAGUAACUGCUUCUGAUUUUCUGCUCCUAGAUCUUGGAAGCUUGGUAAUUUGGAAGCUUUCUUUGCUAACUUGAUUUAGCUUGGGAAUUUAUUUGCGUAAUAUACGUUUGGAUCACGAGAAAAAUGCAUAUGUGGUAUAGGAUGUUUUGGGAAUUAAUUAUAAUGAAUUGAACAUGGAAUUAAAAUGAACAUUAAUGGGAUGAUUGGAGCAUAUAGUUGGAUUACCUUAGAUAGUAGGAAUUUGAAGUAUUCAAGUAGAAUUAUGUUGUGGUGGAAGAAACAAAGGAGACAGCUUUUGUGUUAUGUUCUGGCAGAUUUUUCCAACUUCAGUUAAUCAAGUAAACGAUCUCCUUUUCUUACAAAUUUUUAAAUGAACAAACUUUCAUGUGUCUUCUGCUAUGUGGCUAAAAUUCAGCUUCAGCCGAAUUGAAAUGAAUUUAUAAUGAAUUUUGAAAGGGGACUGUGCUGUUCAGCUAGGUUUGGGUAUAUUUUGUUGUUUUCAGCUGCUGGUUUUUAAGUUUUCGACACCUUUAAGGUGUUGUAAAUUGUAUUUUCAAAUUUUCUGCAUGAACCUUGAUGUGUUGAGGAGCUCUUUGUAAAAUUUCAACUGAUUUGGAUGUCGUUUACUAUUUUUAGAAAAUCUCCAAACCCAGCUGCCAGAACCUGUCAGGUAGUGAUAGACAGUGGGAAAAUGGCCAUAUCUCCCAACCUACUUGGAAUUUUUGAGAGAACUUUGUUUUAAAAUUUAAACUAGACACCAAGGGGAUUCUUUUGGUAUAGGGCUUGACCUCUUAUACUCCGUGCAAAAGAAGUAACUAAAGAGAACUUGUUUAUUGCUCAAGUUAUUUUUGGUGUUGUGUUGAUAAGAAUUAUUUAUUGAAAGGUAAUCCUGGCCCGAGGGAUAGCACGGGCAAGGAGAAGACGAAGGAGUAAAGUGAUCUAGUACGGCAUUUUGGAUUUUGAGAUUAGCUCUUUCGAUGUACAGCUGCUCAAGUCGGGUCACUAGCCAACCUUUUGUGUUCGGAAAAUUCUUUCAGAUAUUCUAGAUGUGGCAUGUAUAGAAAGUGUAAUGUAGUUCGGACGUUUCAUUUACUUCGUUAUCCAUGUUGUAUAAAUAUAUAUAUAUAGACUUUUGGAAACAGGUUUAUGGUCUAAUUUCAGACGUUAUAUAGCAGUUUUUCCGUUUGCUAA